CCUGGUGGCUCAGAUGGUAAAGCGUCUGCCUACAAUGCAGGAGACCGGGGUUCAAUCCCUGGGUCAGGA
rnacentral:tRNA from 1 species